AGUGAACGCUGGCGGUAGGCCUAACACAUGCAAGUCGAACGGCAGCACAGUAAGAGCUUGCUCUUACGGGUGGCGAGUGGCGGACGGGUGAGGAAUACAUCGGAAUCUACUUUUUCGUGGGGGAUAACGUAGGGAAACUUACGCUAAUACCGCAUACGACCUACGGGUGAAAGCAGGGGAUCUUCGGACCUUGCGCGAUUGAAUGAGCCGAUGUCGGAUUAGCUAGUUGGCGGGGUAAAGGCCCACCAAGGCGACGAUCCGUAGCUGGCCUGAGAGGAUGAUCAGCCACACUGGAACUGAGACACAGUCCAGACUCCUACGGGAGGCAGCAGUGGGGAAUAUUGGACAAUGGGCGCAAGCCUGAUCCAGCCAUACCGCGUGGGUGAAGAAGGCCUUCGGGUUGUAAAGCCCUUUUGUUGGGAAAGAAAAGCAGCAGGUUAAUACCCCGCUGUUCUGACGGUACCCAAAGAAUAAGCACCGGCUAACUUCGUG
rnacentral:rRNA from 1 species